rnacentral:rRNA from 1 species
AUUGAACGCUGGCGGCAGGCCUAACACAUGCAAGUCGAGCGGAUGAAGGGAGCUUGCUCCUGGAUUCAGCGGCGGACGGGUGAGUAAUGCCUAGGAAUCUGCCUGGUAGUGGGGGAUAACGUCCGGAAACGGGCGCUAAUACCGCAUACGUCCUGAGGGAGAAAGUGGGGGAUCUUCGGACCUCACGCUAUCAGAUGAGCCUAGGUCGGAUUAGCUAGUUGGUGGGGUAAAGGCCUACCAAGGCGACGAUCCGUAACUGGUCUGAGAGGAUGAUCAGUCACACUGGAACUGAGACACGGUCCAGACUCCUACGGGAGGCAGCAGUGAGGAAUAUUGGACAAUUGGCGAAAGCCUAAUCCAGCCAUGCCGCGUGUGUGAAGAAGGUCUUCGGAUUGUAAAGCACUUUAAGUUGGGAGGAAGGGCAGUAAGUUAAUACCUUGCUGUUUUGACGUUACCAACAGAAUAAGCACCGGCUAACUUCGUG